rnacentral:misc_RNA from 1 species
AACAUCUCAAAUCUCUUGGAUUUCUUCCGAAAGAAUUGGAUUUGAGCGAUCCCGACUCUUGUCAAAAAGAGGAGGGCCGCUUGAAAUGCAGGUGCAGCUGGACAUUCUUCUGAGCUAAAAGCAUAUUUAUUUAGUCCCGUGAAACGGAUUAUUACUUUUUGCUUCAGCUAACAUAAAGGUCGAAUGAACAAAACCAAGGCUGAUUGCAGGAAAACUCGUCUUGUUCACGCAAGACUUGUAA